rnacentral:tRNA from 1 species
AGAAAAGUAAGCUAAGUAAGCUAAUGGGUUCAUACCCCAUUAAUAGAGGAAGGACCUCUCUUCUCUA